AAGUAGCAACAGCCCCCACCCUUCAUCUACCCAAGGCAGCGCCCGGGGCCACCAAGGCCAAAGCGCAGUUGGAGCGCGAGCGGGAGCCUGAGACUGCCUGACCUAAGCCUCCGGAGUGGGGCCCGCCGGAUCCUGAGCGGCUUCCGGCCCAAAAGGAGACGCACUUGAGUGAUCGCGAGGAGCAAACUUGGGGCUUUCAGCCUCGGGCCUCGAAGAGAGAGAUCUGCUCCCUUGGCCCGGGCGGGAGACGGGAGACGGGAGACUCCAGAUCGGGAGACCUGUGGGGACGAACCUCAGGCGGCGGGGCUCCGCACACAACAGGAGCGGGGCCCCGGGUCAGAGUUCAGAGAGAGGCCGGACCCACAGCAAGCAGAGAAAUGACAGGGCAGCCCGCGUGUGCGCCUUCACCCCAGCCAACCACCCGCGCGCCCCAAGCGCCUCUGAACUGCUCCCCACACCUCCACUACCCUCCACUUCUCCGAGGAAAGGUCUUUCUCUCCUUUCACCAUGCCUGGCCACAGCCCCCUCCCGGCACCCCUAUUCUGGGACUACGCCGUGGGGGGCUCGCUUGAGCCCCGUAUGGCCCCAGCACAGCGCAGCGGUUGAGACCGGGACGAGCUGCGGAGCCUGUCGACUCUGGUUCGCGGGAAGAGGGUUGCGGGCCCAGGCGAGGGUGCAAGCAGCGCAGCUCCGCAGCCGCCCACCCUCGGGGCUCUGGCUUCGCAGCGACCGCGGUGCGACAGGCUCCCCUCGCUGGGGAGACGCGCAGCUGGGGACAAAGGGCAAGGGGACGCCGCAGGUCUGAGUGCCCCUACUGUCUAAGUGCGUCCUGGGUUUCUGCGAACGAGGGUCUGUUUCUCCAUCCCUGGAAGGACGGAGGUGUUUCUCUUCCCUGGCGCGCGUGUGCCCUUCCGGACGGCGGUGGCUUUGCGUGACCCACGCCUGCCCCGAGUGCUCCCCUGCCAACCGCAAGAUCUCUGCGGGGACUGCUCUGGAAGCCUCGCCAUCCAGACCCACCGCUCUGCCCCAGCGCGGGAAGCGGCGCGACGUGGCUGGGACUGCGAACCCACUCCAGGCCCGCAGCGUGACCCUGGCGGGGAAGGAGGAUGUGUGAGGGUGCAAGCCUGGGUGUGGGUUUGGGGCUAGAGCGGGGAGAGAGAGCAGAGGGUACAGGCGCGGCGAAGAGCCAGGAAGAGGGUAGCGGCGGUCUCCUGCCCACCAGUUGCACGCCUCCCGCUGGUGCCGCAAGACCUCGGGACCCGGACGCCCUUCCGCAGCCUUGAAGUGGGAGAAGACCGAGCGAAGGGAGGAGGGGGCCCAGCCGUCCGAACCGGUAACCGACCACACACACACACACACACACACACACACACACACACACACGCCGUCGCGGUUAGCCUUUCGGAGCCCCAGGCAGGGUUGCUGGUGAAACCGUCCCUGCGUGGUUGGGGAAAUAAUGCCAGGUGCCUGACCCCUCUGGAGCCCGUGCGGAGCCGCGUGAGCCCCACGGAAGCAGAGCGAGGGGACCCGAGGGAGUCUCGGCCUUGCCAUGCAGACGCUGGUGACGGAUUCCUGGGGAACAGCGACCUCUGGAGGAGCGGCGCGUCCACGCAGAGAGUCAGGAACUGGACGACCAGGUCUAGGACCAGAGGGCCCUUUCUCCACCCCACCCCUUUGGCAAAGUCAUCCAGACACUCGUAACCUCCGGACUCCUCUUUGCGCAUGCUUGCUUCCUUUCCCAACCUGGACUCAUGCUUCAAAUCCUUGCUCAAAUCCCGCCUCCUCCAGAAAGAAGCCUUCUCGAGAGCCCAAAGCAUCUUGCCCUCUUCCUGCUCUGAGCUCCUCAGAACUGAAAGCCUGAACCCUUGACAACAAGGCUCACACACCGCACGGCACAGCCGACCGGCUUCCUGCCUCGCCCUUCUCCAAAAGACCGUUAAUCCAUACACUCCACCCACCCUUUGCAUUGCAUGCUGGGUGUGCUGUUUUUCUUUCCCUCCAGUAAAUAAAAGACUGAAAUCAUUUAUCCCA
ensembl:lncRNA